rnacentral:lncRNA from 1 species
AAUAUUCCAACUAUAGAAAAGGCAUGAAGAAUGUGAUCACUGAAAUGGAGGUCCCACUCGAUGUUGCAAAAGAAACUCUCGAGUUUGCAGAAGAUAAGAUUAAGGCAUGAAGAAUGUGAUCACUAAAAUGGAGAUCCCACUCAAUGUUGCAUAAGAAACUAUCGAGUUUGCAAAUGGUGGGAUUGACGCGCUCGUUGCUCCAAGUGAAUAGACUCAAAUAGUGCAGUAAUAUUUGUGAGUUAAAGGGAACCCACCUUCAGAACGUUGCCACUCGUAACAAACUGUGCAAGUCGAAAACCUAACCCAUCCCUACAAGGCUACAAUGCUCCUAGAAAUAGACUCAGACAAUGCAGUAAUAACAACUUAACAAUGAAGGGCAAAUAUUUCCUAUGAUUAAUAGGAUAUCACAAGCAAGAAAAACAGAAAUAGAAAGACACAUACGAAAGCUGGAAGGGUGCAAGUAUGAAUGAGGUAGGGAGACUUAAGUAUAGCAAUUCAACCUGCAUGUUUCAUUGGCUCAAAAUAAUAACUAAACCACCGAAACGCUGCGGCAAUCCCAUACUCUGCCAGUUUACCGCAAUUCCUAUACAUGAACGCAUGUUAUACAACAAUAAAUGUUCAGACGACAAUGCCAAUAGACCAUCAUUCGUCCUAGCAAGAUUGAAUUGCGCCUCAAACGAAAUUAACAUCAAAUUUAUUACAGUGCAUCUUGUUUAUAUCUAAGCACGCUUGAAAUGUUGUACUAGACCUACUAGUAGAACUAUAUUUAUUGAUCAUGGCAAUGUACUCAACUGUAGCUGAUUGGCACUCAAGACUUCAGCCAGAUCUAUAGUCUUGAUUGUGUUCCUCCAGCAACAACAAUUGUUUCAGCUGUAAUGAAGGAUGCAUCGUCGGAUGCCAGGAAAGCGGCGGCUGAAGCCAUGUCUUCCACGCUACCCAAUCUCUUAAGUAUGCUCCUCUCGAUGAGCUCAUUUCUCUGUAGAAUUAUUUGGUUAGGUACAUAUAUGUUCAUGGAACAAACAUACAUGAGAUUUACUUGGUGGUACANNNNNNNNNNNNNNNNNNNNNNNNNNNNNNNNNNNNNNAGAUUUACUUGGUGGUACAGCUACAACUAUAUUAUUCUGAAAUAGGUUGCAUUCAAAAGAACCUAAUUUAUGACUGAGGAGAGCAAUGACAAGCCAUUCAGAAUAUAAGCAGUCUUAGAAUUUUUGCCAGUCAAACAACAUUUUUAUGUUUGAUGAUCAAUACAGGAAGAAGUACAAAAAUGGACAAUAUCAAAAUUGUUAUUGCUAGAUUUGUCAUAAAAGAUAUUUUUAUAUUGUAUUUGUUCGAAACAACAUUAUUUCUGAAGAUCAAAGUGUUAUGAUACUAAAAAGACGACAUGAGUAUUUAAAGUAAAAUAAAAACAAUGAAGUACUCGCAGACUGUAAGAAAAGCAAUGGAUUAGCUAACUGAAAUCGCCACAAUGAUAAUCAUACCGACCAUGGCAUAUAUAGUUACAAUUGCCAUCCAUGAAUAUAUAAUACGUCUGAUAAGUAACUGCCUGUGAUUGAGAAAGUACUAAGAUCACUUAAUCUUUUCAAGUGGGAGAUUGUUGUAAUAGUCUCAUGUUGUUUGCUUUCUAUGUAGUAUAAGAUUGGGUCAGCAGUAUAUGGCAUCAAAUAUGUGGCGAGUGAUGAAAUCUU